GGAAGGACCAUAGUUCAGUGGCAGAGCAUCUACCUUGCACACAUAAAAUCCCAGGUUCAAUCCCUGAUAUUUCCA